UGCAGAGGAGCCAAGCGUUGUCCGGAUUGACUGGGCGUAAAGCGCACGCAGGCGGACGCGCGCGUGGGGUGUGAAAUCUGGCCGCUUAACGGCCAGGCGCCAUCCCAUACGGCUCGACUGGAGUGAUGCAGAGGUCGAUGGAAUUGCCGGUGUAGUGGUGAAAUGCGUAGAGAUCGGCAGGAACACCCAGGGGGAAACCAGUCGACUGGGCAUCUACUGACGCUGAGGUGCGAGAGCGUGGGGAGCGAGCCGG
rnacentral:rRNA from 1 species